GACUGAUUAGAGACCUUAAUUACAUCUUCAAAGUACCUUUCUUCUUUUCUAUUCUAUUGGUUAAAAGCAAGUUGUUAGUCCUGCUCAUACUCAAGAGGGAGGGAUUAUAGACAGGUGUGGAUAUCAGGAGCUAAAAAUAUCAGGGCCAUUUUAUAAUCCUGCCUACCACACUCUGUGACUACAGUUUGCAAAUAAUUUAAGAGGGAGAAAAUAAUAUCCUGUUUAUGUUAUCUUAAUUUGUAAUUUUUCGCCUGUAUUUUAACCAGCAUGAAAGCACUAUAGAAGCUAUAAUAUCCUCUGUAACUAUUAAAUAAUAUGGUGGUUAUGAAUAUUUUCUUAUCUUUGCAUAACUCAAAGGAGAGUUUUGUGACCGUUCUCCUUCUAAGGUUAAGCUGUAAUAGAAAUUCAGUUGAUGAGACAAGAUGGAAGUUCUGCCAUUGAAUACUCCUUGAACUUGGAACUCUUCUGAAUAGGCCCAAAGGACAAAAACUUUGACUAUAUAAACUACUUUUGGUCAUUACAGGUCGACUAUUAUGUUCUCUUGUCUUAUGAAACAAAUAUCAUCUAAAAUAUUGUACAUGAUUAUAAACAUAACCUUUCCAAAAUAAAAUCAGAACUUAUUCCUGUGCCAGCAUCA